rnacentral:rRNA from 1 species
GAUGAACGCUAGCUACAGGCUUAACACAUGCAAGUCGAGGGGUAACGAGAGGAAAGCUUGCUUUCCUUGUCGACGACCGGCGCACGGGUGAGUAACGCGUAUCCAACCUGCCCCCAACUAGGGAAUAACCUUGCGAAAGUAAGACUAAUACCCUAUAAUUUCCUCAGAUGUCAUCUGACAAGGAAUAAUGAUUUAUCAGUUGUGGAUGGGGAUGCGUCUGAUUGGCUUGUUGGCGGGGUAACGGCCCACCAAGGCAACGAUCAGUAGGGGUUCUGAGAGGAAGGUCCCCCACAUUGGAACUGGGACACGGUCCAAACUCCUACGGGAGGCAGCAGUGAGGAAUAUUGGUCAAUGGGCGGAAGCCUGAACCAGCCAAGGAGCGUGCAGGAUGACGGCCCUAUGGGUUGUAAACUGCUUUUAUACAGGAAUAAAGUUAGCCACGUGUGGUUAUUUGUAGGUACUGUAUGAAUAAGGACCGGCUAAUUCCGUGCCAGCCGCCGCGGUAA